rnacentral:rRNA from 1 species
GAUGAACGCUGGCGGCGUGCCUAAUACAUGCAAGUCGAGCGAACGGACGAGAAGCUUGCUUCUCUGAUGUUAGCGGCGGACGGGUGAGUAACACGUGGAUAACCUACCUAUAAGACUGGGAUAACUUCGGGAAACCGUAGCUAAUACCGGAUAAUAUUUUGAACCGCAUGGUUCAAAAGUUAAAGACGGUCUUGCUGUCACUUAUAGAUGGAUCCGCGCUGCAUUAGCUAGUUGGUAAGGUAACGGCUUACCAAGGCAACGAUGCAUAGCCGACCUGAGAGGGUGAUCGGCCACACUGGAACUGAGACACGGUCCAGACUCCUACGGGAGGCAGCAGUAGGGAAUCUUCCGCAAUGGGCGAAAGCCUGGCGGAGCAACGCCGCGUGAGUGAUGAAGGUCUUCGGAUCGUAAAACUCUGUUAUUAGGGAAGAACAUAUGUGUAAGUAACUGUGCACAUCUUGACGGUACCUAAUCAGAAAGCCACGGCUAACUACGUG